rnacentral:rRNA from 1 species
CGUAGGGUGCAAGCGUUAAUCGGAAUUACUGGGCGUAAAGCGUGCGCAGGCGGUGAUGUAAGACAGUUGUGAAAUCCCCGGGCUCAACCUGGGAACUGCAUCUGUGACUGCAUCGCUGGAGUACGGCAGAGGGGGAUGGAAUUCCGCGUGUAGCAGUGAAAUGCGUAGAUAUGCGGAGGAACACCGAUGGCGAAGGCAAUCCCCUGGGCCUGUACUGACGCUCAUGCACGGAAGCGUGGGGAGCAAACAGGAUUAGAUACCCUGGUAGUCCACGCCCUAAACGAUGUCAACUGGUUGUUGGGUCUUCACUGACUCAGUAACGAAGCUAACGCGUGAAGUUGACCGCCUGGGGAGUACGGCCGCAAGGUUG